rnacentral:sRNA from 1 species
GUUUUGGCCUUUCUUCAAUCUUGUGCCUGUAAACUAGUACUGUAAACAGUCACUUUGAUUAAUUAUGGAGUUAUAUUAUCAAUGCUUGUUUAGUUUUUAUUUAAUAAGUGCAUCUCCUUUUAUGAGAAACCCACAAAGUUUUUCAAACAAAAA